UAGGGGGCAAGCGUUAUCCGGACUUACUGGGUGUAAAGGGAGCGUAGACGGCAUGACAAGUCUGAAGUGAAAUUCCCGGGCUUAACCUGGGCACUGCUUUGGAAACUGCCAGGCUAGAGUGCUGGAGAGGUAAGCGGAAUUCCUAGUGUAGCGGUGAAAUGCGUAGAUAUUAGGAGGAACACCAGUGGCGAAGGCGGCUUACUGGACAGUCACUGACGUUGAGGCUCGAAAGCGUGGGGAGCAAA
rnacentral:rRNA from 1 species